CCUACGGGUGGCUGCAGUGGGGAAUAUUGGGCAAUGGGCGAAAGCCUGACCCAGCAACGCCGCGUGAAGGAUGAAGGCCUUCGGGUUGUAAACUUCUUUUGUCAGGGAAGAGCAGAUGCCCGUACCUGUCGUAUAAGCCUCGGCUAACCACGUGCCAGCAGCCGCAGUAAUUCGGAGGGGGCAAGCGUUGUCCGGCUUUGCUGGGGGUAAAGGUCGUGUAGCCGGGCUGAUAAGGCAGUUGUGAAAUCCGGGGGCUCAACCCCCGAACUGCCUUUGAAACUGGGGGUCUUGAGUUUCGGAGAGGCAGGCGGAAGUCCUAGUGUAGCGGUGAAAUGCGUAGAUAUUAGGAGGAACACCAGUGGCGAAGGCGGCCUGCUGGACGACAACUGACGGUGAGGCACGAAAGCGUGGGGAGCAAACAGGAUUAGAUACCCUUGUAGUC
rnacentral:rRNA from 1 species